rnacentral:rRNA from 1 species
GCUCCUAAUUAAACUUGGGGGCAUGUGCACACCUUUCUCUUUCAUCCCAUACACACCUGUGCACCUGUGAGACAGAUGUUUUGUGGGGGGGAAGGAACUUUAUUGGACCUUCUACUCCCCCUUGACUUCUGUCUACUUAAUUCAUAUAAACUCAAUUUAUUUUAAAACGGAUGUAAUGGAUGUAACACAUCUAAUACUAAGUUUCAACAACGGAUCUCUUGGCUCUCGCAUCGAUGAAGAACGCAGCGAAAUGCGAUAAGUAAUGUGAAUUGCAGAAUUCAGUGAAUCAUCGAAUCUUUGAACGCACCUUGCGCUCCUUGGUAUUCCUUGGAGCAUGCCUGUUUGAGUAUCAUGAAAUCUUCAAAGUCAAACCUUUUGUUAAUUCAAUUGGUUCUGCUUUGGUAUUGGAGGAUUAUUGCAGCUUCACACCUGCUCCUCUUUGUGCAUUAGCUGGAUCUCAGUGUUAUGCUUGGUUCCACUCAGCGUGAUAAGUUAUCUAUCGCUGAGGACACCCUGUUAAAAAGGGGUGGCCAAGGUAAAUGCAGAUGAACCGCUUCUAAUAGUCCAUUGACUUGGACAAUAUCUAAUUUAUGAUCUGAUCUCAAAUCAGGUAGGACUACCCGCUGAACU